rnacentral:lncRNA from 10 species
ACAUGACAGCAGCUUCCAAAUUUUUAACAUGAUACCAAAUCUCAAACUACAUUUAUUUUAAUGAAUUGAGAUUCUAGCAAUUGCACUUAAAAAUUCUCUUUAAUUUUUAGAAUUCACAUCACUUAAACUUCUAUAGAGACUUCUUAGUUGUUGCUGUUUUUAAUCUGGGAUUUGAUAGAGUUCAUGACUUUUUCAUCUCAUCUGAAAAGACUACAGCAACAAUAACAAAAUAAACUUAGUGUAUACUAUCCUUAUUCUUGCAGGAAGAAGUAACUGGAACACAAUCAUCUGGCAAAAUCAACUGAGAAAAAUGGAAAAAAAGUACCACCUGGCUUCCUUGCUAGUAAUAUUUUUAGUGGCAAUAAUACCCAAAUAAUGUGGAUCCCAAUCAAGGUAAUAAACAGAUCCAUCACCUUCCAAA